GAUGAACGCUGGCGGCGUGCUUAACACAUGCAAGUCGAACGGAAAGGCCUCAGCUUGCUGGGGUACUCGAGUGGCGAACGGGUGAGUAUCACGUGGGUGAUCUGCCCUGCACUUUGGGAUAAGCUUGGGAAACUGGGUCUAAUACCGAAUAUGACCACUGCUUGGAUGUUGUGGUGGAAAGCUUUUGCGGUGUGGGAUGAGCCUGCGGCCUAUCAGCUUGUUGGUGGGGUAAUGGCCUACCAAGGCGGCGACGGGUAUCCGGCCUGAGAGGGUGUACGGACACAUUGGGACUGAGAUACGGCCCAGACUCCUACGGGAGGCAGCAGUGGGGAAUAUUGCACAAUGGGCGCAAGCCUGAUGCAGCGACGCCGCGUGGGGGAUGAAGGCCUUCGGGUUGUAAACUCCUUUCGCUAUCGACGAAGCCACUUGUGGUGACGGUAGGUAGAUAAGAAGCACCGGCUAACUACGUGCCAGCCGCCGCCGUAA
rnacentral:rRNA from 1 species